ACCCUAACCCUAAUUUCAUUUCACAAAAAAAUCAUCCGCAUCCCCAUAUCUCUCUCUCUACCUCUUCUCUCACUCUUUCUCGCUCGAAAAAGAAAGCAGCCAUGGCUGUCACCACUAAGCCGGAGAACCACCACCCUCAAGCCACAACCCUUCCUUCGAUCUUCCCCUCUCUUCCCUCGUCCCUUUCUCUGGCGAAACCAUCGUCAGCAUCCCUCUAACCGCCGCCCUAGCAGUCUGCUCCCAUCGCCCAGAUCUGUCGCCGUCACCCGUCGAAACCAGCAGCUGCUCCAGCUGAUAAAAUGGCGAGCCACCGGCGCCACCGUCAUCCUCACCCUGUGGAUGACCUCCCCCUCCUGGUCCUCCAGCGCCACCAGUAAGGGAGCCACUCCGAUUGCUGCUGAUCCAGAUGCCAAAAACGUCAUCUCCUCUCCGCCACUACCAGCCGCCACCUACCGGCGAAAUCUCGCCGAUAUUUCCUCUCCUCCUUUGGCGAAGAAAAUGCCCCAGUCUCGCUGCCUUUGAGCCCCGGCCGGAGAAAUUCAAGUUCACGAUGGAUUCUCAGAAUUCGUCUCAGGUUUGUUCUUUGUUUGAAUUUAUGUCAAUUUAACAUUACCCUCUUCUACUCAUUUAUCUUUUUCUUUGUCAGAUUAUUGGAUGUGAAAUUUGUGAAACUCGAUGUUUGAAUUUUGAUUCGAUGUCGUGUUUGCCUUCUAAUUAACAUAUGUAAAAUCCUUUUUUUGUGGUCUUUCUUUAAACUUUAACUUCUUAAAUGUUGCAUGUCGAUUUGCGUCAAAAUAUAAUUCCACCACGUUUAAAUAAAUUUUCAGCAAUUUUAAAUUAGUUUUCAGCAUGUUAAUUGGAUUUCCAGCAUCAUAAAUCAAUUUUCAGAAUGUUUAACAAUGUUUCCAGCAUGUUCAAUAAUAUUUCCAACAUGAUUAAUUGAAUUUUUAACAUGUUUAGUAGAAAUUUUAUAUGUUUAAGUGAAAGUUCAGUUUGCUAUUAAUUUGUAAGUCUUUACACAAUUAAGGGAUAUCACUCUUAGACGUGCAUCCUUAAUAUGUUCACAAUAUUAUUUGACAUAAACACUUAGAUAUCAUGUCAAAGGUUGAGUUCCCUUUAACACGUUAAGUUAUUGUUCUCAUGCUUCUUUGACAUGUCCUCGUUUCUUAUCACAUUGUUAGAAUGUUCCACAAUUAUUUGUGUCACUCUAUAAAUUGUUGAACACUUAGAUAGCAUGCCUAUAGGUUUACUAUCAAAAUAAAUAAUUAUUUGUUUUUGCAUGUUAAUCACAUUAAUAAACGUUUAUUAACCAAGAGGCGAACUUGAGACAAUUAUGUGCUACGUGAUGUCCUACUUGUUAUGCGUUUCGAGUCCUAGGUAACACAACUUUAUUUUGUGUAGACAAUAAAUCCAAAAUAGCAAAGCCCAAUGCCUCUUAGGCGAUAAGUGGGAUGAUAGGUAUUCUAAAACGUUAGGUUUAUCCUUGUCCUAGAACGCCUUUAGACUUGACAUCUAGCCUAGGUGGGGUGGGGCGGGUAGUCCUUCGGAAGUGAUGAUCUCAAUAGAUAUUAAUGGUAAGACUAAUGACAUUGUCACUUGUCUAAGAGUUCGGUCGGUGGGUCAGAUGAUGAUUAAACAAGUUGGGGUUCUGAUCCGAAUAAGACCAAAAACAUUUCUUUAUUUGAUUUGACGAAUUUCUUUUAUUCUUUUACUUACCUUACAUGCUUAUUUAUUUGGGGUAUUUAGUCUAUUAUAUAAGCAGUUCCCUUUUGUUGUAAAUUAUUUAUAUUUUUUACUGAUUUCAUCACUUAGAUAAUUAACAAUUAGGAAGAAUAAAAUAACAUGUAUUUAUUUAUUAGUUUAUCACUUAGUUAAACAUUAAGUUAAUAACAAAAUAAGAGACUCAUUUGAUCACAUGAAAUUUCCACGUAAAAUAUGAAUUCGGCAGGGAGCCACCUUUGUGGACCUCAAAAGGUGCCUAACACCUUCCUUUUGAGGUAAUUUGAACCCUUACCCAAAUCUUUGGUGAACUAAGAUGAAAACAACAAGAAUAGGUGCGUAGUUAUCCUAGACCAGUGCCUUAACACACCUUACUACGUUAGGUGGCGACUCUUCACACCCUUUAAAAUAAUUAUCGAAAAAGAGUUUGACAUGCCAAAUCCCGAUUUUCGCGAGGAAAAUGGGGAACGACACAUGUUGUGUCCUCUCAUAACACUUGUUGGAAGAUCAAAACAUUCGAAAUACUCUCUCUAAAAACUCUUAAAGAUUGAGGCUUGGGUUUCUACAAAUAUUUUUCAAAGGGCUCACGAGUCAAGUUUCUUUCUAUGAAUCUUCUUUUAUAAGGCAUGUUACUCCCCCCUCAUUGUUAGUUCGACUAAAGGUAUGUUUUUAUAAAUUAUUUUCAUGGCAUGAAUGUUGUAUGGUUUUGGAUUUUCAAAUAUAUGUUGGGGGUUUUGGUUAUAAUGGUUGGUUAUGGUUAUCCCAUGUUUUUUACUUAUGGUUUUUAUAUUAUUAUGGUGGUUUGAACAUUUGAUUGCAUGGGAAUGGUUAAUUGGUACUUGGUUUUGGCUUUGGAAAAUACUAUGCCCGCAACAUGUUUGAUAAAAUGUCUAUGGGAAUAUUUUUGGUUAAAUUGUGGACUUUCAUUGAAGUAUUGCAUGAUAUAACUUGGAAAUGGAAUCCUAAACGGUAUAAAUGGUUUGGAAUAGUUAAAUGGAAUGGUUUGGAUUAAUAAACAUCCUUGUGGGUUACAAUGGAAUCCCCCAAGUAAACUUGUAAUGGAAUACUUGUGGUCUUACAAUGAAAUUGUAAGACCCCGUAAAAAGUUCUAGUUCCAUUCAGUCCCAUAUAGCUUGUAAUAAGGGGUCCCAAACUUAGAAAAAUUCAGCGAAGUGUUAAGACUUAGAAGCAUUAUUAGCUUUCGAAAUUGAAUGAUUUUAUUUUUUAUCUUUCGGACCUUAGAAUGCUGAUUUUCAAGAUGAUUCAUGAUCAGGGAUGUCAGUAGGUCAUAUUGGGUGAGUUUCGAAAUUUUUGAACUUCGUUUGGGUCAUGUUUGGAUGGGCAAAAUAGCAAGCCAAUGAGAUUUUGACGCAUCACGUUGGCCACCGUAUUGCACCCACAGACGCAAUUCGUCGGUGGUUGCAUCGAUCCCAUUGACGUAAUGCGACGCUGGGCAGUUUUUGUACGUUAAAUUUUGAGUUUUCAAGGGCAUUUUGGUCCUUUUCCCCUUACCCAAUUCAGCUAAAACACGAGAUGUAAUAUCCUAAAGGGCUCACAAUCUUCACGAAAUUAAUAAUCAAGGUAUGUUAGGUGUUCAUCCUUGGGUUUCCUUCCACCCUUGGAGUUCAAGAACCCUUUUUAAAACUAUAAGUUGAUUGAUUUCAUGAUUUACAUAUUUGAAUUGGUUUGUGUUCAUGUAUGUAUUGUUGUAUGGUUUUCAAAUCAAUAUUUAUACAAGUUUUAAGUGAAUUAAUUAGCAAGUGUGUAGAAUUAUGUGAUCCUCAUAAUGAACCCUAAAAUUGCAAGUUGAAUGCUGUAGCCAUGAUGUUUAUAUCUUGAUGAAUUCCAUGUGCAUUAAUUAUGCUCCCCGAGUGUUUGGUAGAAUGCCUAUGUAAAUUUAGUAGUGAAUUCAUGACAUGUUAUCAUAUGGUCCCAUGUACACUUCUCAAGUGUUUGACAAAAUAUCUAAAUGAAUGCAUGGUGAAUAAGUAAUUAAUGUAAUGCUUUUAAGAUUUUUCUAUGUUUUACUAUUGAUGCUAUCGAGUCCUGGGGGUAUUCAAUACCCAAAAAUCUAGCUAUUUACUUAGAAUUAUAGUAGCUACAGAAUAAUCUCAAAAACAUCAUAAACAAGUAGUACUUCGUUAGCUACAAAACUCAGUGAAACUCAGUCCAGUUCAAUUCAGUCUAAUAAGCAGUAUCAUUUAGUUGGGAGUAGGAUUCAGCACCGAGUGAACCCAAGGAUGGGGCUCACCUUCCAGUUGAGGUUGUGAUCCUUAGUAGCAGUUUUUGCGUUCCAGAACUACGUAGCCAGUGUAGAUUCAGAUAUCAACCUGCCAGUUGAGGGUUGAUAAAGUGUUUACCUGCCAGAUGAGGAUAAUACCUAUCUCAUUAGGGCACCUGCCAGAUGAGGGUGACUCUUAAGCUUGUUAGUACCCGUGGCAUGGUAUUAGUACCCUUCCAACUGGGUUGCAGGUUGGACCCCAAAUCAUCUUAACAUGGGGCAUGUCGGCUAGAUGAUACCUCCCACAGUUUUAGUUUCAGACUAACUAUAGAACUCAGUUCAGUUCUGUAGAAUCAAGACUUUCAAAAAUAGUCACCCAAUUAUCCAAAAUAUAGAUAUCAGUAAUCUCAGAUAUUAUUCACUCAGUUAUUAGAACUCAGUAUUCUAUUUCAGUAUGAUCUCAGAUACAAUAUAUAUAUAUAUAUAUAUAUGCAUAUUAUUGCAUAAUUACUUUUUACAACAGUUUCAGUUAUCCAUGUACUCUCAUUCAGUUAUGUUCAUAUCAUUCAGUCAGUUUCUAUUCAUAUAUAUGAGCCCAUGCAUUUCGGCCUCACCUCAUAUAGCAUACCAGCACAUUUUAUAUACUGAUGCGUACUCUUUCUUUGCAGUAUGAUGUCUCAUAUCAUAGGUUAGGAUGCUCAGGUUCCUGACCGUACUUAGCAGCUCAGGUUAUCAGCAAUAGUUAUAGUGGUGAGUCCUCAUAUUUUGAGGACAGAGUUAUUUAUUUCAGUAUUCCAGUAGUUUAAUAUGGUCAGUAGUCGGAGUUAGUUGGGGACUUGUCCUAGCAACUCCAUAUUCAGACAGUUAGAGGCUUUUGGAAUAGACUAUUUCAGAUAGAUAUUUAGUUUUUUAGUAUUUUUAUCAGUAUUUAGUAUUUGUUUUUAGUUUAUGAACCUUAUGGCAAUAUCAGCCUAAUUCCGUAUAUAUUUUCAGUAUUAUUAUUAUUCAGUGCUCACAGCAGGUACCAGUCAUGGGUUAGCUUGUGGUCCUUUAAAAUUGUAAGCACCGUGUGACGCCAAGGGUGCAGUAUCGGGGCGUUACAAACUUGGUAUCAGAGACUAAAGUUU
rnacentral:lncRNA from 1 species